AAGUCGUAACAAGGUUUCCGUAGGUGAACCUGCGGAAGGAUCAUUAACAAAUCUGUGGGCUUGGUCUUUGUCCGGCUCAUUUUUGCGCGUGUGUAGUGUGACUGGUUACUAAAAGUGGGAUUUGUAACAGAGACAACUUUUAACAAUGGAUCUCUUGGCUCUU
rnacentral:misc_RNA from 1 species